UACGUAGGGACCGAGCGUUGUCCGGAAUCACUGGGCGUAAAGGGCGCGUAGGCGGACUCUUAAGUCGGGGGUGAAAGCCCAGGGCUCAACCCUGGAAUUGCCUUCGAUACUGAGAGUCUUGAGUUCGGAAGAGGUUGGUGGAACUGCGAGUGUAGAGGUGAAAUUCGUAGAUAUUCGCAAGAACACCAGUGGCGAAGGCGGCCAACUGGUCCGAUACUGACGCUGAGGCGCGAAAGCGUGGGGAGCAAACAGG
rnacentral:rRNA from 1 species